ACUACAGUCAAGCUUUCUGUCAGAAUCUGUGGAACCUGAGGCAAACUGAGGAAAUUGCUGACUUGUGAAGAUGCCAGACUUUUGUGCAGCCUAUGGAUGCGCUAAUCAACGUUGUCUGGAAGUGAGAACCCGUGGGAUUACCUUUCACCAGUUUUAUCUUGCAGCCAUGCACUUCAAUGAGAAUGCGGAGUCCCCACAACGGAAGAGAGCCAAGGAGAAACUAUGUACAGACAAACAAUUUAUCAUCAAAGACCCUGUUCAUUGGGAUGCCGUCCAGCGGAUUCCUGUGCCACAGGACUUGUGUGCUCAGCUUGACAGACCUUCCAUGGAGG